rnacentral:rRNA from 1 species
GACGUAGGGCGCGAGCGUUGUCCGGAUUUAUUGGGCGUAAAGAGCUCGUAGGCGGCUUGUUGCGUCGACCGUGAAAACCCGCGGCUUAACUGUGGGCUUGCGGUCGAUACGGGCGGGCUGGAGUUCGGUAGGGGAGACUGGAAUUCCUGGUGUAGCGGUGAAAUGCGCAGAUAUCAGGAGGAACACCGGUGGCGAAGGCGGGUCUCUGGGCUGAUACUGACGCUGAGGAGCGAAAGCGUGGGGAGCGAACAGG